AUCCUCUUGUCAUUCACAGGUGUGAAGAUUAGGUGUUCAUGCUGUUGUGUGGUAUGUUCUCACUCAAACCUUGUCAUGAACUCAGCACAUCCCUCAUCUGAUU
rnacentral:snoRNA from 1 species